CUAUCACAGUGAAGAUUUUCAAAACCAUUAGCACCACUGCGUCUCUGUCAGCUUCCGUAAAGUCAACAUUUUAGUCUGCCUAUUGCACGUCCAUCUUGUUUUGAUGAUCAUUGGACUACUGCACUUAAAUGGCGAAGGUCGAAUAGAACCAUUGAUUGUGUUCAGGUCGAAUAGAACCAUUGAUUGUGUUCUGUGCUUUGUUUCAACUUCAACAUUAAGACAGAAAC